rnacentral:misc_RNA from 1 species
UCUCCGUUGGUGAACCAGCGGAGGGAUCAUUACCGAGUUCACAACUCCCAAACCCCAUGUGAACCUUACCAAACGUUGCUUCGGCGGGAUGCCCCGGGCGCGGGCCGCAAGGCCUCAGCCCCGGAACCAGGCGCCCGCCGGAGGCCCAAACCAAACUCUUGUUUUUGUAGAAUCUUCUGAGUGGCCUUUUAGGCAAAAAAUGAAUCAAAACUUUCAACAACGGAUCUCUUGGUUCUG